UGCUCGAGAAGUGGCCGCCAAGGAAACAAAUUAGCAUAAAUGCAGAGGGCCUGUCGAGGAGGCAGAGCAGACCGGGAAAGUGCUCAGAUGCAACACAGCCUGUACUCUAGCCGCAUCCCACUCAGGCUGUGAGUGCUUUGGCGUCAUUGCCUGAAAGGAGCAUCAGCCAGGCAGAGAGACAAGGCUUCAGCCUCCUCAGGCCCAGACCGUAAGAAACUGUACGGCUGAGCUCGUCGGGAAUGAGGCGUGGGCAAUGUCUACCUUUUAGCAAGUCUUUCGUCUUCCAUCGCUUUGCUGCGCCUUGGAACGCGGGGUGGACGGGUCUGCGGGGAAACAGAGAAGAAUGAUUGCCGGAGAGUGAAACGAAGGGCACGACGUGGCUGGCGUUUUGCCGGCGCCAAGUGGAUAUUGUUGCUGAGAUAAAACAACCACGUAUCACAGCCUUCAUAGCAUCCCAG